UAUUCACCUUUUCUCAAUCCCAUAGGGGGAUUCUUCUCAGCCUGGAGCUGGAAAGUUAUGAUCGCCAACCCUAUGCUCGCAUGCCGCUUCUCCAGGCAAUGGAGGACACAUGUGGGGACAUAGAGGUUGCCUCUGUCCAAGGUUGGAUACGCCAUGCUAGGAGAUACUUCCCUCCAUGUGGGGACAUAGAGGUUGCCUCUGUCCAAGGUUGGAUACGCCAUGCUAGGAGAUACUUCCCUCCAUGUGGGGACAUAGAGGUUGGAUACGCCAUGCUAGGAGAUACAUCCCUCCAUGUGGGGACAGAGAGGUUGGAUACGCCAUGCUAGGAGAUACUUCCUCCAUGUGGGGACAUAGAGGUUGCCUCUGUCCAGGGUUGGAUACGCCAUGCUAGGACAUACUUCCCUCCAUGUGGGGACAUAGAGGUUGCCUCUGUCCAAGGUUGGAUACGCCAUGCUAGGAGAUACUUCCCUCCAUGUUUGGCAAGAGAAAACGUAUCUUGUGAUGUGGACGAAGUAUUGUGGCCAGACUCAGGCUGGAGAUGAGAUGAAGCGUAGCUUAGCACUGGUGACUGCCCCCCUACCAAUUCCUGGACUGCCCCCCC
ensembl:lncRNA